GCUCUGAGGUCCUCGGGGAUGGUUGUUGC
rnacentral:piRNA from 1 species